CUAAGAAUCUUCCGCAAUGGGGGAAACCCUGACGGAGCGACGCCGCGUGGACGAAGAAGGCCGCAAGGUUGUAAAGUCCUUUUGCAGGCGAAGAAUAGGCUUAGGAGUGGAACGCCUGAGCGAUGACGUUAGCCUGCGAAUAAGCCCCGGCCAAUUACGUGCCAGCAGCCGCGGUAACACGUAUGGGGCGAGCGUUGUUCGGAAUCACUGGGCGUAAAGGGCGUGUAGGCGGUUCGAAAAGCCUGGCGUGAAAGGUGUCGGCCCAACCGACAGACGGCGCGAGGAACUGCCGGACUGGAGUCACGGAGGGGGAGCUGGAAUUCCAGGUGUAGGGGUGAAAUCUGCAGAGAUCUGGAAGAACACCGGUGGCGAAGGCGAGCUUCUGGCCGAUGACUGACGCUGAGGCGCGAAAGCGUGGGGAGCAAACAGGAUUAGAUACCCUGGUAGUCCACGCUGUAAACGAUGUGCACUAGGUGUUGGUGCCAUACGGGCAUCGGUGCCGUAGCUAAGGCGAUAAGUGCACCGCCUGGGGAGUAUGCUCGCAAGGGUG
rnacentral:rRNA from 1 species